rnacentral:sRNA from 12 species
UGGCGACGAGGCAUUUGACUGGUUCGGUUGCAGCCGAGUGCGGAGCCUGAUCGUGGGUUAUGCGGGAACCACAAGCCGAAUAGAUUCUUUGGAUCGAAGAAAAACGCUUACA